rnacentral:rRNA from 1 species
UGGUCAAGUUAUUAAGGGUGCAGGGCGGAUGCCUUGGCACUAGGAGCCGAUGAAGGACGUGAUAAGCUGCGAUAAGCUUCGGGGAGUUGCACGUAAACUUUGAUCCGAAGAUUUCCGAAUGAGGAAACUCACUUAGAGUAAUGUCUAAGUAUCAUUAAGUGAAUACAUAGCUUAAUGAGGGGAACUCAGGGAACUGAAACAUCUAAGUACCUGAAGGAAGAGAAAGAAAUUCGAUUCCGUAAGUAGCGGCGAGCGAACGCGGAUUAGCCCAAACCAAUAAAGUUUUCUUUAUUGGGGUUGCGGACAUAUCAUAACGAAGAGGUAUCGUAAUUGAAGAGGUUUGGAAAGACCCACCACAGAAGGUAAUAGUCCUGUAUGUUAAACGAGAAGACUUUAGAUAUGAUCCAGAGUACCACGGGACACGUGAAACCCUGUGGGAAGCAGGAGGGACCACCCUCCAAGGCUAAAUACUACCUAGUGACCGAUAGCGUAUAGUACCGUGAGGGAAAGGUGAAAAGAACCCCGGGAGGGGAGUGAAAUAGAACCUGAAACCCUGCACUUACAAGCUGUGGAAGCACAUUUCUUGUGUGACCGCGUACUUUUUGUAGAACGGGCCAACGAGUUACGUUAAGUAGCAAGGUUAAGCACUUAAGGUGCGGAGCCGUAGCGAAAGCGAGUUUUAACUGAGCGUUCAGUUACUUGACGUAGACCCGAAACCGGGCGACCUACCCAUGAGCAGGAUGAAGCGAAAGUAAAAUUUCGUGGAGGUCCGAACCCACGAGCGUUGAAAAGCUCGGGGAUGACUUGUGGGUAGCGGUGAAAUUCCAAUCGAGCCCGGAGAUAGCUGGUUCUCCCCGAAAUAGCUUUAGGGCUAGCCUCAAGGUGAGAGAUACGGAGGUAGAGCACUGAAUGUCCUAGGGGGUAUUGCACCUACCGAAGACUAUCAAACUCCGAAUGCCGUCAUCUUAUACUUGGGAGUCAGACUGUGGGUGAUAAGAUUCAUAGUCGAAAGGGCAACAGCCCAGAUCGUCAGCUAAGGUCCCUAAAUGUAAGUUAAGUGGUAAAGGAUGUGGGAUUGCACAGACAACCAGGAUGUUGGCUUAGAAGCAGCCACUCAUUCAAAGAGUGCGUAAUAGCUCACUGGUCGAGUGAUCCUGCGCCGAAGAUUUCCGGGGCUAAAACUUACUACCGAAGCUACGGCAUCAUUAUGAUGGGUAGGGGAGCUUCCCAUAUGGGUUGAAGCAUGACCGUAAGGACAUGUGGACAGUAUGGGAGUGAGAAUGUUGGCAUGAGUAGCGAGAUGUGGGUGAGAAUCCCACAGGCCGUAAACCCAAGGUUUCCAGGGGAAGGUUCGUCCGCCCUGGGUUAGUCGGGACCUAAGCUGAGGCCGAAAGGCGUAGGUGAUGGACAACAGGUUGAUAUUCCUGUACUACCGAUAACCGUUUGAGAGAAGGGAUGACACAGUAGGAUAAGCUAAGCACACUGUUGGUUAUGUGUGCCCAAGCAUUGAGGCAGUCAAAGUAGGCAAAUCCGCUUUGAUAAUGCUGGGAUGUGAUGGGGAGCGAAAUUUAGUAGCGAAGUAGCUGAUUUCACACUGUCAAGAAAAGUCUCUAUCGAGGUUAAAGGUACCCGUACCGCAAACCGACACAGGUGGGUGAGGAGAGUAUCCUAAGGCCAGCGAGAGAACUGUUGUUAAGGAACUCGGCAAAAUGACCCCGUAACUUAGGGAUAAGGGGUGCCACCAUCAGGUGGCCGCAGAGAAUAGGCCCAAGCGACUGUUUACCAAAAACAUAGGUUUCUGCUAAGUCGCAAGACGAUGUAUAGGAGCUGACGCCUGCCCGGUGCUGGAAGGUUAAGGGGAUCUGUUAGAGCAAUCGAAGCAGUGAACUUAAGCCCCAGUAAACGGCGGCCGUAACUAUAACGGUCCUAAGGUAGCGAAAUUCCUUGUCGGGUAAGUUCCGACCCGCACGAAAGGCGUAACGAUUUGGGCACUGUCUCAACAACAGACUCGGUGAAAUUGUAAUUCCGGUGAAGAUGCCGGAUACCUGCGACAGGACGGAAAGACCCCAUGGAGCUUUACUGUAGCUUGACAUUGGGUCUUGGUACUACAUGUACAGGAUAGGUGGGAGGCUUUGAAACCAGGACGCCAGUUUUGGCGGAGCCAUCCUUGGGAUACCACCCUUGUAGUACUGGGACUCUAACCAUAGGCCAUGAAUCUGGUCUUGGGACACUGUCAGGUGGGCAGUUUGACUGGGGCGGUCGCCUCCCAAAAGGUAACGGAGGCGCUCAAAGGUUCUCUCAGUACGGUCGGAAAUCGUACGUAGAGUGUAAAGGCAAAAGAGAGCUUGAUUGCAAGACAUACAGGUCGAGCAAGGAUGAAAAUCGGACUUAGUGAUCCGGUGGUUCUGCGUGGAAGGGCCAUCGCUCAACGGAUAAAAGCUACCCUGGGGAUAACAGGCUUAUCUCCCCCAAGAGUCCACAUCGACGGGGAGGUUUGGCACCUCGAUGUCGGCUCAUCACAUCCUGGGGCUGUAGUAGGUCCCAAGGGUUGGGCUGUUCGCCCAUUAAAGUGGUACGCGAGCUGGGUUCAGAACGUCGUGAGACAGUUCGGUCCCUAUCCGUCGCAGGCGUAGGAAAUUUGAGAAGACCUGUCCUUAGUACGAGAGGACCGGGAUGGACGUACCUCUGGUGUACCAGUUGUCCUGCCAAGGGCAUGGCUGGGUAGCUAUGUACGGAAUGGAUAAGCGCUGAAAGCAUCUAAGCGCGAAGCCAACUUCAAGAUAAGAUUUCCCACCGCAAGGGUAAGACCCCAGAAAGACUAUCUGGUUGAUAGGUCGAAGGUGUAAGUGCAGCAAUGUAUUUAGCUUAUCGAUACUAAUAGGUCGAGGACUUGACCAAU